AACAAUGGAACGGGAGAUGCCAAAUUCAUUGUGUACAUCACCUUAUCAGUAUUAAUCUUUACUGGAGUCGGUGCCGUUUGCUUCUAUUUCAAAGGAACAAAAAAGAUGUUGAAGCAAAUUGUAUGAGUAACGAGAACAGAUCGAUUGUUUAUUGCAUGUGAACAUUUCAUCAAAAGAAAAGUUUACUUCUUUCACUUUGUACAAAAUUUAUUAGUAAUAUUGCUUAUUUUCUGUCAUGUAAAGGAUGACUGCACUUAACGUUGAAUUUAGGGUCUUUUUCAAUUGGUUCUGUAGCUUUUAUUUUUUUAUUUAAUUUCACUUUUGUACAUGUACAUGUAUAUCUGCUACAGAAGUCUGUCCAUAUGGCAUGAAAUUUAAAUCAUAAAAAUAAUUUUGGAAUGAAAUAAUUAUAACUUAUUCUCUGUUUUUUUUUUCGUAAUGUUUUCCAAAUAAAGAGAAUUUACACUAACAUAUAUCUGCCCUUGAUUGAACAGUUUGUAUGAAUGAGAAGCUGAGCCGACAUCGUAAGGAUGGAUCUAAAAUUAGACUCGAUGAAUAACAAUUAGGAGUUCCGUGUUUGCUCUCCUUCGAUUUUGUAUCGUUAUAUGGACUUUGAUAAUGAAUCCUGUUUUUUAUCUUUCAUGUAUAAAUAAAAAGAGAUAACUUUUUUCCAUUUAUUUCGAUCGGACAAGUACAUAAUAUAUUCAGUAUUUACAAAGGUUUAAAACGUAAUUAACAACAUGAACCCCGUCAAUGUAGGUAAAGAAUAUCUUAAAUCGAGGCCUGACAAUAUAACUCAUUCGAUCAAAGCCGGUAUACACGAUGAAAUUUGUAGUAUAAUGCAAAAACAUUUUUCUUCUCUUUUAAACCGCGAGCGCAUGUUUGUCUAUAAAUCUUCUUCUACCACAACAUUUCUAAUUCAAAUAUACAAUUAUUGUUAAAAUGAGAGCAAUAGAUUAACAUGCGCUUAGUAUGUAUAAAGUCCGUAAAAAUGGGCGUUUUCAUUUGUAACAGCAAAUUUAACAUUGUACGAAACAUUUUUUUCCGGAUUUGGUUUGAGUGUUAGACUUUUCCGGAUUUGGUUCCAAUAUUAUAAUUUUCGCGGGAGCACGAGAUUUUUACAACAGUAGAAAUUGUUUACCAGUGUUUACUAGUCACUGUGCUGAUUAUCAUGUUUGUCUUCAACUUUUCCAUGAGAGAAAACUUCUAAGUUGGUAAGUUAAGCAUGAAAUCUUUUUGUAUAUUGUUGCAGAAGAAAUUUUGACGUGCAAAAUUGUUAUAAAUUGUAUGUUUACAAGGUGUUCACUGUUUACCUGUUAAGGUGUAAUUUUUACGGAUAUGUUGGAAAGUUCAUAUGAACGAUUUUGAUUGGAUGACUAUGUGAAGGGAAUUUUUGCCAUAAUAGGUUGAUAUUUGUAAUUUGAUAUUGAAAAUUAAAGACUUCUGUGACUUUUGGUAUGAAAUUAUUUGGCGCAUGUGC